GGAGCUUGGCUGGGGCUCAAAGAGGCAUCUAAAGCUGCAGAGGCUGCUCCUCAGAGAAGUGUUUGGGUCUAAGAGCCCUUGAGGGGCCAGAGGCCAGUGACCGGACGACAGCAAGCCUGCGGGCAGCCAGCUGUGGAGUUGCCUUUUGGAGCCGGUCCCCAACGUGUAGCCGACGAAAGCAGCAUCUUUCCUUUUACCUAAUCCCUUUCACGAGCUGCUGAGGCAGGAACAUGCAAGACUGUGUUACCAGAGAGAGUGGCACACAUUUAAUUCUCAGAGUCCUACUGACCUAAUGCUGAAAAUUGUGGAUGGAUGUUGGGCAGCAGAGAUGUGGAAUAAC
ensembl:lncRNA